rnacentral:tRNA from 1 species
GGGGUUGUGGCUCAGAGGUAGAGCACAUGCCUGGCAUGCAUGAGGCACUGGGUUCGAUCCUCAGCACCA